rnacentral:precursor_RNA from 8 species
GUUUUACUGUUAAAUGUUUCUGUUUGGUACACCCUGUAACUCAGCCAUCAGAGUUUUAUGUAGAACUUUGAAAGGCACUUACAGGAAGCAUCAGGCAGUUCCUGUCCUCAGCCAGAGAC